rnacentral:rRNA from 1 species
UACGAAGGGUGCUAGCGUUGUUCGGAAUUACUGGGUGUAAAGGGCACGUAGGCGGUUUAUUAAGUUUUGAGUAAAAGCCCAAGGCUAAACUUUGGAAAUGCUUAAAAUACUGAUAAACUUGAGUUUUUAUAGAGGAUAGUGGAAUUUCUAGUACAGAGGUGGAAUUCGUUAUAAUAUUAGAAGGAACAUCAGAGGCGAAGGCGACUAUCUGGAUGUAAACUGACGCUGAGGUGCGAAAGUAUGGGUAGCAAACAGG